GGAAAAAAUUUGAUAAGGUAUUAGUAGCUGAUACUUCUGUUUCCUCUUUAAUAGUACGAUCGUUGAUUAGCUUCUAAAGCUUGAUGUAAACCAUCAGCAAAUUGACGUCCAUGUAAAGUUCUACCAGUAAAUUGAUUUAUAAUUAAAAAUCUUGUACCAGUAAAUAAUCUUUAGUACGUGCCAUAAUAAAAUAAGCUUUUAAAGCAUUUUUAAUACAAUGUAAUAAAGUACAAUUUUGAGGGCUAUAUAAAUUAUUCAUAUGAAAAAACAGUUCAGCUUUUUAAUUCCUUCUUCAGUUAAUUCAAUGGAUCGAGAUUAUGAAUCGAUAAUAUAACGUUGAGUACUAAGUGUCGGGGCAACUCGGUACUGAAGUUAACACAUUAAGUACUCCGCCUGAGUAGUACGUACGCAAGUAUGAAACUUAAGGAAUUGACGGGAUCCCGCACAAGCGGUGGAUCAUGUUGUUUAAUUUGAAGAUACACGAAAAACCUUACCAGGUCUUGACAUAUUCUGCGAAGCUAUAGAAAUAUAGUAGAGGUUACCAGAAAUACAGGUGGUGCAUGGUUGUCGUCAGCUCGUGUCGUGAGAUGUUAGGUUAAGUUCUAAAACGAGCGCAACCCUUAUCGUUAGUUACCAGCAUGUUAUGAUGGGGGACUUUAGCGAGACUGCCAAUGAAAAAUUGGAGGAAGGUGAGGAUUACGUCAAAUCAUCAUGCCCCUUAUGAUCUGGGCUACAAACGUGAUACAAUGGCUAUUACAAAGAGUAGCUGA
rnacentral:rRNA from 1 species